CUAGUGAUUAGAGUUUGAUCAUGGCUCAGAACGUACGCUGGCGGCACGCCUAACACAUGCAAGUCGAACGAAGUAGCAAUACUUAGUGGCAGACGGGUGAGUAACAUGUAGGUAUCUACCCUUUGGCCUGGAAUAACACGAGGAAACUUGUGCUAAUACCGGAUAAGUCUUUACGGAGAAAGCUUUAUGCACCAUUGGAUGAGCCUGCACUUGAUUAGUUUGUUGGUAGGGUAAUGGCCUACCAAGACUUUGAUCAAUAGCUGAUUUGAGAGGAUGAUCAGCCACAUUGGGACUGAGACACGGCCCAAACUCCUACGGGAGGCAGCAGUGGGGAAUCUUGCACAAUGGAGGAAACUCUGAUGCAGCGAUGCCGCGUGAGUGAAGAAGGCCUUUGGGUUGUAAAGCUCUUUCGUCGGGGAAGAAAAUGACUGUACCCGAAUAAGAAGGUCCGGCUAACUUCGUGCCAGCAGCCGCGGUAAUACGAAGGGACCUAGCGUAGUUCGGAAUUACUGGGCUUAAAGAGUUCGUAGGUGGUUGAAAAAGUUGGUGGUGAAAUCCCAGAGCUUAACUCUGGAACUGCCAUCAAAACUUUUUAGCUAGAGUUUGAUAGAGGAAAGCAGAAUUUCUAGUGUAGAGGUGAAAUUCGUAGAUAUUAGAAAGAAUACCAAUUGCGAAGGCAGCUUUCUGGAUCAUUACUGACACUGAGGAACGAAAGCAUGGGUAGCGAAGAGGAUUAGAUACCCUCGUAGUCCAUGCCGUAAACGAUGUGUGUUAGACGUUGGAAAUUUAUUUUCAGUGUCACAGCGAAAGCAAUAAACACACCGCCUGGGGAGUACGACCGCAAGGUUAAAACUCAAAUGAAUUGACGGGGACCCGCACAAGUAGUGGAGCAUGUGGUUUAAUUCGAAGAUACGCGCAGAACCUUACCAACACUUGACAUGUUCGUCGCGACUUUAAGAGAUUAAAGUUUUCGGUUCGGCCGGACGAAACACAGGUGCUGCAUGGCUGUCGUCAGCUCGUGUCGUGAGAUGUUGGGUUAAGUCCCGCAACGAGCGCAACCCUCACUUUUAGUUGCCAUCAUUUAGUUGGGCACUCUGAAAGAACUGCCAGUGAUAAGCUGGAGGAAGGUGGGGAUGACGUCAAGUCCUCAUGGCCCUUACGUGUUGGGCUACACACGUGCUACAAUGGCAUUUACAACAGGAAGCAAAACGGCGACGUUAAGCAAAUCCUAAAAAAAUGCCUCAGUUCGGAUUGUACUCUGCAACUCGAGUACAUGAAGCUGGAAUUACUAGUAAUCGCGGAUCAGCGCGCCGCGGUGAAUACGUCCCCGGGUCUUGUAGACACCGCC
rnacentral:rRNA from 1 species